rnacentral:lncRNA from 1 species
AGGUUCCCGCGGGCCCCGGUCGGCGAACAGCUCUGCAAGGACCGCCGCAGGCCACAAGUGCACGGGGUGCCAGGAGCUCCCCGUCCCCGGCCCCCAGCCCGGGCUGAAACAGCAACGGUUUGCCCGGGCCCUCCCCCUUCCCUCUUCCCCAGCAAAUCUACCCAGACCGGAAGCGCGACACGCGCUUAGACCCGAGCCUUCUCUCAGCCUCGGGACCAGGUGCUUGUUGGCUACGUCGAAAAGGCAAAAGUAAAGAAAGCGAAGGCGAAGGGCAGCUCAAUGGGAACGAUUCAGGGGGUCUUCCCGGCUCCCAGCACCCCCAAGAAGAUGGCUGCCGGUAAAUCUCGCGAGAAUUGAUGAAGUCUCGCGGUGGCUCCCGGAGCCUGCUGGGAGAGACGUAAGGUCGGCGGAGAAUGCGCGGGUCGAGUGCUGUAGUUCGAUUUUUGCGUGUGUGCGUUGCUUGCGGCCUUUGUGCCUUUUUAUUCUUUGCUUACCUUUAUGAUAUAAAGACCUUAUUUCUUACAAGGAGGAAAAGACCGCUGACUUCAGAAACAGCGGGAACCCCAGCUCGUCCCCGGUAAGACGGCCGUGGCCUGUCAGCUGGAACGGUCCUGCCGGAUGGAUCGCUCUUUGAGAGCGUACACUCCCGCGUGCGCGACACCAGGCGGCCCGUAGGUUCCAGGUGCCGAGCACACUACCUCCUCAGUUUACCUAAGUGCCCUACCAGUAUCAUAUUCUGUGUAUGCUGUGAUGUGAACGAGGUUUGUAAACACAGGCUGGUCUAAUGGAGCCCAAUGAGACCGCCAGAGGAUUAGUGUCUUGUCCAACAGUACUUGACUUGCUGGUAGAGCCCUAAUGACUGAGGGCUGCCCACAAGGGAAAGAUUCCUACUUAAGCGUCAAAAUGCAGUGCAUACAGCAUCGCCUUUGGAAAUCCAUCUUUGACCUCCCUUCUGUAAAGCGAGAGUCCCUCUGAGAUUUUCUGACAUCAGCCUGUGAUUGCUUCUUUUAUAGCACUCAUAGCUUUAUUUUUGCAAGUAUGUGAUUAUCUGUUCUUUAGUGGAUUAUAGCUUUGAAUCCCCCGCUUCAAGAACAGCUGCUAAUAUAUACAGCCAAUCCUUAUUCACGGUGGUUCUGUAAAAAAGCCACAAAUGCUGAAUUAGUGAAUAUGGAACCAUUGCUCCUAGGAGAAAUGCAGGAUUAGGUUCCUUCAAGCCUCUUAUUAAAUGUUUGUCAACCAGCCCAUAAAUACCUUGUUUUAUGUGUGUUUCUUUUUAAAGGCACCUUAUGUAGGAAAAAAAAAAAUUUUUAAGGCACCUUAUUUAAUAUAGUUGAUUCAUUAACAUUGAACUCACAGCCAGUGGCACUAUAACUCAUGCUUACCUGGCGUAUGUAUUUUCUCUUUAAAAAGAAAGAAGAGCCUUCUGGCACUUAGGGACCCAGAUAGCCUCAUCACUACACUUGGGGGGCAUUUUAAACAGUGAAAUCACAAAAAGGUCAAAAAUGCAACAAAUGUGGCCUUAAAUAGACCAUGAAAAGGACACUUGUUUCCAGUGUGAGAGCUAAAACAGGAAGGCAGAGCAUCCCCUUGUUUCACCAAAGCUGGGAACAUGUGCAUCAGGUGACUCAAAUUUUUUUGCCUCUGUUCAUGUCGACAGAUGACUGCAAAAGCAUUCCAAGUAUUGAUUUGGGCAUUGCAAAUAAAUUUUAGCAAGUAGGCAAACUCACAAAUACAGAAUCUGUAAGUAAUAAGGAUUAACUAUAUUUUUUGAAUGACCAAAGGAAGCCGUACCACUUCCAUGAAACCUUUCCUGGCCACUGUGGCUGAUAGCAGUAUCUUCCUCCUCUAAAUUUAUGGUACAGUGCUUAUUAUCACUUCACAGUUAGUCAUUUUUGCUUCCUAGAAUGCUUCUCUUCCUUAACCAUUAACAUUUAUCCUUCAUUUAUCCCUGCUUCAUCUUCUUUGGCCCUGCCUUCAAAGGCGACAAUUAGCUGAUGUAAUCAUCAAUUCUACUAAGAGAAGACUAAACAGCUGCUGUGGACUACUUUCUCUAUUCAGUAACAUGUACAUUUUGGAAUGUCCAGUAUCAGGUUGCCUGCUUAACGUUUUCCAAUACACCAUGUUCUUUCAAGGCCAUGUGACUUUAUUAGCACUGUUCCUUUUGCCAGAAUGAUUUUCCUUAUUGCUCAAAUGUCAGUACCUCAAUGAUACCCUGGACAAAGGUCUAGCUCCCUACCUGUAGAACAGGAGUUAAAACAUUUACUGGGAAGAGAUUGUGAGGACAGAUAAAAAUAAAACAUUUUAUUUAGUUUUCUCAUCUUUCUCGGCCUUGUGAGCUCUUUUAAGGACUGGACUCAAGUUUAUUCCUCUUUCUACGUCCUGCACUUAACUCAGUGUCUGAAACUCAAAAAAUGUUUAUUGAAGACACAUGCUUCGUUUUAAAUAGGAAGGAAGCAGAGGCAGGAGAAAAUAUUUUAGAUAGGCAAGAGAAUGAUAUGCCCUCUAACAGAUCUGUAUUUCUUUAUGGUUUAUUACCAUAAGUUGCCUUCAUCUUUUAGCUGCACCAAUCCCAGGAAUAUUCUCUAUAGUGUGCUGAACUCCUCCUCAGGUUUUUCCAGCUCUCUCCUCUAGUUGAAUACAGUCUUACUACUCUCAAUAGUGCUUUUGAAGUCUUGUUUAAAAACAGUCAGCAUUUCCGGAUCAAAAAGAGAUUCUGUAUUUUCUUCUAUUUCUUUUGCAGUCCAUUACUCUACUUAGAAUCACACUUAAGUAUUUAUUCUCUCUGUAAUACAUCCCUGUUUGUGGUGUAAAGUGAGGAUCUAGGCCAUUUUUUUUUUCUAUAAGUCUACUCACUCAGUUUAUUCUUUCCUGUUGAUUUUUUUCUUUUUUUUUUUUUUUUUUUCCUGGGACAGAGUCUGACACCAUCUCCAAUGCUGGAGUGCAGUGGCGCAAUCUUGGCUCACUGCAACCUCUGCCUCCCAGGUUCAAGCAGUUCUACCUCAGCCUCCCAAGUAGCUGGGACUAUAGGUGUGCACCACCAUGCCCAUCUAAUUAGAGAGGGCGUUUCACCAUGUUGGCCAUGCUAUUCUUGAACUCCUGGCCUCAAGUGAUCGGCCCGCCUCGGCCUCCUAAAGUGUUGGGAUUACAGGCGUGAGCCACCGUGCCUAGCUUCCUUCCUGUUUGAUUUUUGAUGCCACUUAUAUCUUUCUGUUUUCAUUUCAUUUGUGUUCUGCUUCUGACCUAUUUUUCAAUUGGUCAGCUUGUCUGUGACUACUCCAGUACUAUGUUGCUUUUAUUUACUAUUGUAUUAUAGAAUAUCUUAAUAUAUAAUAAGGCAAAUCCCUCUUCUUUGCUCUUUUUCAAAUUUAGCUUGGCUAAAUAUGAAUCUUGGUCUGGCACAGUGGCUCACACCUAUAACCCCAGCACUUUGGGAGGCCGAGGCAGGCGGAUCACUUGAGGUCAGGAGUUCAAGACCGGCCUGGCCAACAUGGUGAAACCCCAUCUCUACUAAAAAUACAAAAAUUAGCCAGGUGUGUUGGCACACACCUGUAGUACCCAGCCCAGAGGCUGAGGUGGGAGAAUCGCUUGAACCUGGGAAGUGGAGUUGUCGGUGAGCCGAGAUUGAGCCACUGUACUCCAGCCUUGGCGACAGAGUGAAACUACGUCUAAAUAAAUAAAUAAAUAAAUAAAUAAAUAAAUAAAUGUGAACCUUUAGUUUCCAAAUACAUAGAACAAGAUUGUUGAACUUGUAAACAAAAAAUUCUUCAUCAUUGAAGUUAUGGAUUAAUUUGGAUUGAAUUGACAUCCUACAGUGUAUAGCAGUCACAGAGGUGUGCAGCUCAGAUCUCCCUUCAAGAAAGGACUCACUGCCCAACUGCAAGGAGGAUAGUUACCUGACAGCUUCCAGUUGUUAACUCUUUCUAGGUUCACCUCAGCUUUCAAGUUGAAGUUACACUGUUCUCAGGGAAAACCCUCUCCCCCAUGCCCAUCCGCAGCUCAAGACUGAGCAAGGGAUAAGGACCUGCUCGAUAUUGGGAUGGCAGAAGUAUUGUCAGACCUGCAUGGUAAUCUAAUGGCUCUCCCACCCAAUUCUGCUUCCCCCCUUUCCAUUUCACAGGUGCUACUUUCCAGUAAACUUUUUGCACUUUUAACCCCAUCUCAGCAUCCACUUCCCAGAGAACACCAUAACACAAAUUUAAUCAUCUGAUUCAUUCUAUUUUUGUACAUUUUAAAAAUCGUAGUUAAUAAUAAAAUUAUAAGUAUUAUGAAAGAGGAAACUAAGAACCAUUUUAGCAAUUUAGACUGUAAAGGCUCAAGCAUGGUUUCUCUAAGGAUAUGAUAUUUAAAUGGUUAAGAAAAGUGAAUAAUGAGUAAAAGUCGAAACAAGAACAUUCCAGCAUACAUAAUAGCUUGUAGGAUGUUCCUGAGGUAAAGAAGAGUCAGGAUCUUAAGGACAGAGUGGUGGGAGGGUAUCAAAUUGGGGACAUAGGGAAUGGCUGUCAGUCAAGUUAGAGGUAAAAAAAUUUCAUGUUAAGAUUUUGGAACUGGAUUUUAUUUAAAAUAAUGAUGCGAAGCCAUUGAAAGGUUUUUGGUGUGACAGGAUAAAUUUAAAAUAUGAACACACCAACGCAUACUUCUUUUAAGAAAGAACCUGAUUAAAUUUGGGAAUUUUAAAAUAAAAACAGGAAGCAUAUCGUACUCUAAUAUAAUAAUUCAAGGGUUUUUAUUUUCCUAGAAGAUCAAGGUCAUGUUAAUAAAGGGAAUAUAGUUUUCUUAUCUGUGUUAAGACACUGAUGACUUGCAAAGAAAAGUAACACUUUUGUGAUAUCCUUAGGUAAUUCAAGAGGAAACGCUUGAGCAAUUACUGAUGUUGUAAACUGGGAUCAGAAGACAUACAUGGUAUCGUAUCCCAGGCAAGGCACAGUGGCUCACACCUGUAAUCCCAGCACUUUGGGAGGCUGAAGAAGGCAGAUCACUUGAGGUCAGGAGUUCGAGACCAGCCUGGCUUACAUGGUGAAACCCAUCUCUACUGAACAUACAAAAAUUAGCUGGACAUGAUGGUUAGCUGCACCUCUACUCCACGUGUUCCUCCCUUCAGGUCCCAGGCUGAUGGAGUAGCCUCUGUGUGUUUGGGAUGUUGUCAGUCAUAAUGGUGGACACAAAAGAGAUUAUGACAAACCGUGUAUUGUCUCCUACAAUUUCUGCUCACAGAAGUGGACAACAUCACUUCUUUCCACAUUUCAUUGACCAGAGCAAGUCAUGUGACCAAGCCUGAUUCAAAAUAGGCUGGAGCAAGGAGGAGCAGCAAACAUAAGUGAGUUUAUAAUAUAAUCUACCAUACAAGGUAAACCAGAAUUUAGGAAUGAGCUCAAAGCCUGCAUUUCAUGUAACUGCCAAAGCUCACACAGGAUUUGACCUUCCUUCCCAGAAGAAAGAGUUGACUCCCUUAACAGCAUCGGGCUGGACCAAUUCCUGGCUGUGGAAGCAGCAUCCAUCACAAACUGUUUUCAUAGCAAAUGAAUAGUAAACAUAGGGGUAGAACAAACUACACUGCCACAUACCAUAGCCACUAGCAAUGUGUAGCUGUUAAGUUCUUGUGGCUAUUUAGAAUUGUGGUGUGCAGUAAGUAUAAAAUGUGCAUCAGAUUUCAAAGCCUUAGAAAAAACGUGAACAAUGUUUUUCACUUGUUCCUCAACAACCAGAAAGUAAAAUAUCUUAAUUUUUACAUUAAUUGCACAUUGAAAGAAUAUUUGGAUAUAUUGGCCUAUUAAUAUACUAAAUAAAGUAUAUUAAUAAAAUUAAUUUCACUUUUCUUUUUUUUGAGACGGAGUCUCGCUCUGUUGCCCAGGCUGGAGUGCAGUGGCGUGAUCUCUGCUCACUGCAACAUCUGCCUCCCAGGUUCAAGUGAUUUCUCCUGUCUCACCCUCCUGAGUAGCUGGGAUUACAGGUGCCUGCCACCACACCUAUCUAAUUUUUUUGUAUUUUUAGUAGAGACAGGGUUUCACCAUGUUGGCCAGGCUAGUUUUGAACUCUUGUCCUUAAGUGAUCUGCCCGCCUUGGCCUCUCAAAGUGCUAGGAUUACAGGCAUGAGCCACUGUGCCUGGCCCUCACCUUAUUAUUAUUAUUUUUUAUUUAAAAAUGUGGCCCCUAGAAAACUUAAAAUUACAUAUGCAGCUCACAUAUUUUUAUUGGACAGUGCUUUCCUAAAAUGUAAGAACUUUUUUCUCUCCUUAUGUGAAAUAAAGGAAAGAAAUAAAGAGCUCAGUGUAUUAAUAGAGUAACUCUUAGUCCUCUUACUCUGUACUGCUUUGGUAUGUUUUAGAAUGCUUCUAUGAAACUACUGCUGAAAACAUCAUUGGCGUUUGUUCAGUUUGGGAAGCUCAGGUGUGGUAGGGCCCAGGGAAGGAAGAGUACCUGCAGGGAGACCAGCCAAUACUGAGAGCAAAGUGGGGGCUACCACCCUUCCUUUUGUGAAUUAUUAAGUAAGAAUAAACACUUACCAGCAGAUGAAUUACAGGAUAGAGAUGAACACUCAUCAGUAGUGUGAGGCCCCAUAGCUUCUCUGAUCUCUCUCACUAGAGAAUAUUAAGAGGUAUACCCAUUCUAGUUCAAGAAGGAAGAGCCUUCUACAACUGGCUUACAUGAGUAAGGAAAGGCUAUAAUUAGAUUUGUGUGGAGAAUGUAUGGGGCUGAGGUGGGGGUAGCCAAGAAAGAUACAAUGGGGAGUGGUAGAAGAAGGAAACAAUUAGGAGAAUAUUGUAAUGGUCCAUGUGAGAUGUUGGAAGUUUGAACUAGAGUGUUAAUGGUGUUGAUCUUUUCAAAGUUGUUAAAAAAACAACUAUUCAGCUCUAUCAUUUGAAGAUCUGCUUUCAGCCACCAUUCUUUCCUUUUCUCUUUAUAGGCAAGCAAGAGUUGUUUGUACUCAUUGUCCCAGGUUCCUCUCUUCCAUCACUCCAGUUCAGUAUGAACUAGCUUCUGUCUCUAUCAUUUUACCAAAACACUUCUUGCCAAGGUUAUCAGUGACUUGCUUUUCGCUGACACUGACCAAAUGUAGUAUCCACAUUUAGUCUUGUGUUAUUUGAUCAAAUAUAACAUUUGACAACAUUGUUCACAUGUUUUUUUCUUGAAACACUUUUUUCCCUGCUAUUUUUAUUGCAUCACAAUCUUCUUGGGUUUUUCCCCCUGAUUUUUCUGAAUACUGUAAUGUAUCCUUCUUGAACUUCAACCACACUUCAUAUGGAUGUGCCUUGGAAUUCCUGUUGGUCUUUUUUCAAUCUAAACAUGAUCCCCAACCCAUCUUAUCUAUUUUUACUAUUUCAACUCCUAUAUCCAUGCUGAUGUUUCCCAAAGGUCAUUACUUGGAUGUCUUCUAGGCAUCUCAAAUCAGUCUCUAAAACUAAACUCAUUAUCUUCACUAACCAAUUUUGCCCCUUUCCUGUGAUAUGUAACUCAUAGAAAGCCACCAUCAUCCAAUUGCUCAAGUCAAAAAUCUAAGUAUCAUCCUUCUCCUUUUACCACUAUCCAAUUAAUAUCCCAAUGAAUAUCUAUUGAGUCUUCCUCCUAGGCAUACCUAGAAUCUACUCAUUGUCAUUCAACCCAGAUGAUACACUGCAGCCAAAGAAAUCCAUUAAAGCCCCCUCUAAUCAUGUAAACCCUUAUUGGCUCCCCAUAUCCCAGGCUAAAGUACAAAUUUAUUAAUUGUAAUACUUAAUUGAAAUUAACUGUGUUUUAUGGUAUUAAGCACUGUUCUAAAUGCUUUACAUUUAUUUAUUCUCACAAUUUAGCAUUCCCAGUUUACAGCUGAGGAAAUUAAGCUUCAAGUUGCCCAAGUUUAUAGAAUGAGUCAAUGGCAGAGGUUGAACUCAGAUGACAAAAUUGGGGUCUGGACGUGUGCAAGGACUUUUCCAAAGUCAGCUGGAAAGGAGCUGCUUAGCUGAGAGGUUCUGGCUCCAGAGUCUCCUGUGAAGUUGCAGUCAAGAUGUCUGCUGGGACCCCAGUCAUUUGAAGCCCUGUCUGGGGCAGGAGAAUCUAGGUCCAAAAUGGCCGUUGCAGGAGUCCUUAUCCACACCAUGUGGGACCUCUUCAUAGAUGUUCGAGUGUCCUCAUGGCAUGGCCACUGGCUUUCCCCAAAGUAAGCAGUCCAAAAGAGGGUAAGACAGAGCCCACACUGUCUUUUAUGAAUUAGCCUUAGAAGUCUAACACGGUUACUUCCACCACAUUCAUUAGUCGUUAGGUACAGCUCACAUUCAUGGGGAGGAAAAUCAGGGCCUGUCUUUAGAUAGGAGAUGUAUCAAAGAAUUUGUGGACAUAUUUUAAAAUCACAGCACUACUCUUGAUGUACUAAGUCAGUGACUCCCCCAGGAGUCUCACAGAGAAUUGACUCCUUGCCCACCUAUACUACCUUUGUGGGUAGAGACUCCAGUAGUGUGCUGGUUAAUGUUCAACCAGUGGCUUUCUAGAAAACAAAAUGUAUGGAUACAUAUAUAUGUUCUAAGUUUUACUGAUAUGAAGAAUGUGUAGCACAGAAUUUAUAAAUAAUAAAAUAUACAGUAUUAUUUAUUGUAAAUUCCAUAAAACCUGUUGUUUUUCACAAAAGGUUUUAGUUUAUUUUUCCCAAAUGCUUGUAUUGGUAACAUUUUCUGUAUUACCUUUUUAUGUCCAGACAAUCAACAAAACUGAAAAAGCCCAGCCUUGUAGCAUUUGCCAGUUAUUGUGUAAAUGUCCCCACUAUGGUGGAUUUCAGGUUACCACUAUGAUAUCACAGAAUGCAGAAUUGGAAGGAGAUUCACAGCAGCACCCCAUUAUACUAUAUUUUCACCAUACAGAUGCAGUCGAUGUAAAUUACCUGAGGAGCAUAAAUAAUAAUAAAAUGAAGUUAAAUAAUUCGGAAAUGAUUUUGAAAAUUGUGUUGGUUUUUAAUGUAAGUUUAUAUGUCAGCUUUAAUAAAAUCUGUCUUUAACAACUAGCUUGAAGAAUUCUUGAAAAAUUAAUAAUCAGCUCUCAUAGGCUAGUGACAACUGGCUUCAGUGCACCCCUGACUAGAAACACCUUUGCUUUCCACCACAUGUGGAAUUCCCAGUAUUUCAACAAUCAGAAUUGAGCUUAUGAGCCAACCAAGAAAAAUAACAUCUUAUAUAAGAGACAGCAAUUUGAGAGAGGAAUAUCAGUCAGAAGAAACAAGGGGAAAGUCGAAC